ACGGAAGGCAGCAGUGGGGAAUAUUGCACAAUGGGGGAAACCCUGAUGCAGCGACGCCGCGUGAGUGAAGAAGUAUUUCGGUAUGUAAAGCUCUAUCAGCAGGGAAGAAUAUGACGGUACCUGACUAAGAAGCCCCGGCUAACUACGUGCCAGCAGCCGCGGCAAUACGUAGGGGCAAGCGUUAUCCGGAUUUACUGGGUGUAAAGGGGGCGCAGACGGCAAAACAAGUCUGAAGUGAAAGCCCGGGGCUCAACCCUGGGACUGCUUUGGAAACUGUUUAGCUAGAGUACUGGAGAGGUAAGCGGAAUUCCUAGUGUAGCGGUGAAAUGCGUAGAUAUUAGGAAGAACCCCAGUGGCGAAGGCGGCUUACUGGACAGCAACUGACGUUGAGGCCCGAAAGCGUGGGGAGCAAACAGGAUUAGAUACCCUGGUA
rnacentral:rRNA from 1 species